UCUCCUAGGGUGGUGUAAAGACUAGAGCUGGCCACAGCGAUUAAUUCAUUGCUAUCUGAGGUCACGGUUUUGUGUCGUAGUAGUCAUGCCCUGCAGAAGAUAAUCUUCAGCUCUGCAUCAGUCCUGACGUUCUGAAAGAGGAACGCAGCACUGACCCGUGCAAACCAUACGCACUUCUCAAAAGCAAGACGACAACUUCAAGAUCCUGCAGAUACAGAGCUCAUGGGUUCCUUCAGGAGAUCAUCUGUUCUUUGCAGUGUCAUUCAAGGUCUGGCAGUUUGGA